rnacentral:rRNA from 1 species
UACGUAGGGGGCAAGCGUUGUCCGGAUUUAUUGGGCGUAAAGAGCGUGUAGGCGGUUAGGUAGGUCCGUUGUGAAAACUCGAGGCUCAACCUCGAGACGCCGAUGGAAACCAUCUAACUAGAGUCCGGAAGAGGAGAGUGGAAUUCCUGGUGUAGCGGUGAAAUGCGCAGAUAUCAGGAGGAACACCAAUGGCGAAGGCAGCUCGCUGGGACGGUACUGACGCUGAGACGCGAAAGCGUGGGGAGCAAACAGG